AUUGAACGCUGGCGGAGUGCUUUACACAUGCAAGUCGAACGGCAGCACGGGGCAACCUGGUGGCGAGUGGCGAACGGGUGAGUAAUACAUCGGAACGUGCCCAAUCGUGGGGGAUAACGUAGCGAAAGUUACGCUAAUACCGCAUACGAUCUAAGGAUGAAAGCGGGGGAUGGCAAGACCUCGCGCGGAUGGAGCGGCCGAUGUCAGAUUAGGGAGUUGGUGGGGUAAAGGCUCACCAAGCCAACGAUCUGUAGCUGGUCUGAGAGGACGACCAGCCACACUGGGACUGAGACACGGCCCAGACUCCUACGGGAGGCAGCAGUGGGGAAUUUUGGACAAUGGGCGCAAGCCUGAUCCAGCCAUUCCGCGUGCAGGAUGAAGGCCUUCGGGUUGUAAACUGCUUUUGUACGGAACGAAACGGUUCUCUCUAAUACAGGGGGCUAAUGACGGUACCGUAAGAAUAAGCACCGGCUAACUACGUGCCAGCAGCCGCCGUAAUAC
rnacentral:rRNA from 1 species